AUUGAACGCUGGCGGCAUGCCUUACACAUGCAAGUCGAACGGCAGCACGGGUGCUUGCACCUGGUGGCGAGUGGCGAACGGGUGAGUAAUACAUCGGAACGUACCUUAUCGUGGGGGAUAACGCAGCGAAAGCUGUGCUAAUACCGCAUACGCCCUGAGGGGGAAAGCGGGGGAUCACAAGACCUCGCGCGAUUAGAGCGGCCGAUGCCUGAUUAGCUUGUUGGUGGGGUAAAAGCCCACCAAGGCGACGAUCAGUAGCUGGUCUGAGAGGACGAACAGCCACACUGGGACUGAGACACGGCCCAGACUGCUACGGGAGGCAGCAGUGGGGAAUUUUGGACAAUGGGCGCAAGCCUGAUCUAGCCAUGCCGCGUGGGUGAUGAAGGCCUUAGGGUCGUAAAGCCCUUUCGCCGGGGAAGAAACACCGGCUCUAACACAGUCCGGGAAUGACGGUACCUGAAGAAUAAGCACCGGCUAACUACGUGCCAGCAGCCGCAGUAA
rnacentral:rRNA from 1 species